rnacentral:rRNA from 1 species
AUUGAACGCUGGCGGCAGGCCUAAUACAUGCAAGUCGAGCGAGCGGCGGACGGGUGAGUAACGCAUGGGGACCGCCCGAUAGAGGGGGAUAACUACUGGAAACGGUAGCUAAUAACGCAUACUAUCGGAUAAAUAAAAUGGGAUUAGCUAGUUGGUGAGGUAAUGGCUCACCAAGGCGACGAUCCCUAGCUGGUCUGAGAGGAUGAUCAGCCACACUGGGACUGAGACACGGCCCAUACUCCUACGGAGGCAGCAGUAGGGAAUAUUGCACAAUGGGCGCAAGCCUGAUGCAGCAAUGCCGCGUGUAUGAAGAAGGCCCUCGGGUUGUAAAGUACUUUCAGUCGGGAAGCGUUACCGACAGAGGAAGCACCGGCUAACUCCGUGCCAGCAGCCGCGGUAAUUC